rnacentral:rRNA from 1 species
UACGUAGGGUGCAAGCGUUGUCCGGAAUUAUUGGGCGUAAAGAGCUCGUAGGCGGUUCGUCUACGUCGGCUGUGAAAUCCCGAGGCUCAACCUCGGGUCUGCAGUCGAUACGGGCGAACUAGAGUAUUGCAGGGGAGACUGGAAUUCCUGGUGUAGCGGUGAAAUGCGCAGAUAUCAGGAGGAACACCGGUGGCGAAGGCGGGUCUCUGGGCAAUAACUGACGCUGAGGAGCGAAAGCGUGGGGAGCGAACAGG